rnacentral:misc_RNA from 1 species
ACUCUAACAUGGCCGGUGACCCUUCGGCUCGGGCCACUUUUGUCUCUUCUGUCAUGGCCUUUCUUGAAAAGUACAAUUUCGACGGUCUCGAUGUAGACUGGGAAUAUCCCGCUUCGAGAGGAGGAAAACCCGAAGACAGGUCAAACUUUGCUCUUCUCCUCAAAGAUUUAAGUUCAGCUUUCAAACCCAAAGGUUACCUAUUGACCGCAGCCGUUUCGGCCGGAAAAUGGAACAUCGAUCCAGCCUAUGAUGUACCGAAAGUAUCAGAGUACCUCGACUAUAUCAAUGUGAUGUGUUAUGAUUAUCACGGUGGUUGGGAGGAUAAAACAGGUCACAAUGCUCCGUUAUAUGCAAGGCCCGUCGAGGUCGCCAACGAAAGGCUAAACAACGUUAAUUUUUCAGUUAAUUAUUGGCUUUCUCAAGGAGCAUCCAGAUCAAAACUGGUCGUGGGUAUGGCAACGUACGGACGAUCAUUCACCUUAGCACGGGAACAGGAUAACGGU